rnacentral:lncRNA from 1 species
AUUUGAUGGAUGAUGAAAUUAAAAAUAAUUUUGGAGAAAAAAGGUGAAAAUUUGAGUUUUCGGAAUAUUUUUGAAAGAAAAAUCGAAAAAUAAGGGUCAAAAUAUAAUUUAAAAAAUUUGUGCCGCAUAAGAUGCCCGGUCAGCAGCCCCGACGAAUCAAAAUGCAUCGCGUGACAACGGACACUAAUGCGAUGCCACGCGGGAGGCCACCAUGCGAUCUGCGUGCCUGCGAUCGAACGGCCCAGAUACGUUCCCGCGCGCCCGGACGGCCUGGAUGCAUUUCCUCCCCAAAUGCGAUCGGACGAUCCAGAUUAGAUCACGAUGAAUGGUCCAAAUUAGAUUGCGAUGAACGGUAUAUAUUCACUUCCUAUU